CCCUUAGAUGUUCUGGGCCGCACGCGCGCUACACUGAUGAAUGCAACGAGCUCUACCCUUGACCGAAAGGCCCGGGUAAACUUGUGAAACUUCAUCGUGAUGGGGAUAGAUUAUUGCAAUUAUUAAUCUUCAACGAGGAAUUCCUAGUAAGCGCGAGUCAUCAGCUCGCGUUGAUUACGUCCCUGCCCUUUGUACACACCGCCCGUCGCUCCUACCGAUUGAGUGGUCCGGUGAAAUCUUCGGAUUGCUGACCAAGAUCCAGCAAUGGAGCUUGGUUGCGAGAAGUUGAUUAAACCUUAUUAUUUAGAGGAAGGAGAAGUCGUAACA
rnacentral:rRNA from 1 species